GACGAACGCUGGCGGCGUGCCUAAUACAUGCAAGUCGAGCGAACCGACGAGGUGCUUGCGACCUUUGACGUUAGCGGCGAACGGGUGAGUAACACGUAAGGAAUCUACCUAUAAGUGGGGGAUAACAGUCAGAAAUGGCUGCUAAUACCGCAUAAGCGCACAGUACCGCAUGGUACAGUGUGAAAAACUCCGGUGGUAUGAGAUGGACCCGCGUCUGAUUAGCUGGUUGGUGGGGUAACGGCCCACCAAGGCGACGAUCAGUAGCCGGCCUGAGAGGGUGAACGGCCACAUUGGGACUGAGACACGGCCCAA
rnacentral:rRNA from 1 species